AAAGGUUGAACCCAGGUCUCCAGCCUGCCGGUGGAGCAGCCUGCCCAGAAGACCAAGCUGACAUUUUAUCAGAAAAGACCGCCUGGAAAGCCCAGCAGCAGCAGAUUGCUCUGCAGAGAGAUACCCUCUGCCUGCCUAUCAGUGGCUAUUGACCUGGGCACGGACCAUGCGUGGAAACAUUUUGUGCUGAACAGCAUAAGAAAGGGAAAAGCAAUAAAGAAGUUAAAUGAAAA